AAAAAGUUGACUAUUAUUUAAAAAUUUACUUUUAAAAAUUUUUUAAAUUUUUUUUGGGAAUUUAUUUUACAGAUUUUUUUAGAAUUUUUGAAAUUUUCAUGUGUAGUAAAUUUUUAAAAAUUAGGAACAUGAAUUUGAAACUUUUUGAAUUUGUAUGUUUGUAUUAGAAAAAUGUCCAAAAUUGUAGGAAUUAAAUUAGGGUUUUCUUCAUUGUGAAUAGAGUUAAAAGUUUAUGUAGAAAGAAAGUUUUGAUUAAGGCUAAAUUACAAAAAAAAAUUCUGUAAAUAUUCGCUUUUUUUACUUUUUCUUUCAAAUUUUUAAAAAUCUAUAUUUUGCCUUCUUAAAAUUUUAAAAAAAUUUUUAGGAGAGUACGGUGUUAAUGGAGAUGGCAAAAUUACCAAAUUACCCUUAUUUCUUCUAUAAGAAAAAAAGAAUUUUAAUAUAUUUUCAGUCAUUUUGAAGGGUAAUUUCGAUAUAAAUUAUAAGAAAUGAACGGAUUUGUGACAGAACCCUAACGGAGGGAGGCAAAAUGCAACAAUUUAAAAUAUUGAGAGGGUAAAAUAUAGGUUGAAAGUUAGGGAUGGAAAGUGAAAUGGCAAGUAUUUAUAAUUUUUUUUUUGUAAUUUAGCCUUUGAUUUAUAAAAAAUUUAUUGUUUGUCUGGUUUUUUUUUUUUUAUUGCCUUCACAGUCUUAUCCUACAAUAUCCCUACAAUAGCAUUUCAGCCUCUAUUAGGAUGGAUAUAAUAAGAGAAACUAGGCUGGAAUACUAUAAAUAGCACCAAACUAUUGGUGCUAUUAGGUUUUCAGUCCUUGGAUGAAAAAAUUUACGGUUAAGAUGAUGUGAGCCCCCUAGGAUUGAGUAAGUUAUUUGUUGAAUAGUAUAAUCUAACGGAUAAAAAUAGUCAAAGGAUUAAAUCUAACGGCAGAAAACUCGGUAGCACCAAUCGCUUGGUGCUAUCGAUAGUAUCCUAGCCGGUCUCUGUAUAAGAGAUGUAAUAACGAAACAUUUUUUAACUUUGGA
rnacentral:lncRNA from 1 species